ACGGGAGGCAGCAGUGGGGGAUAUUGCACAAUGGGGGAAACCCUGAUGCAGCGACGCCGCGUGAGUGAAGAAGUAUUUCGGUAUGUAAAGCUCUAUCAGCAGGAAAGAUAAUGACGGUACCUGACUAAGAAGCACCGGCUAAAUACGUGCCGGCAGCCGCAGUAAUACGUAUGGUGCAAGCGUUAUCCGGAUUUACUGGGUGUAAAGGGAGCGCAGGCGGUUUUUUAAGUCUGAUGUGAAAGCCCGUGGCUCAACUGCGGGACUGCAUUGAAAACUGGAGAACUAGAGUGUCGGAGGGGCAAGUGGAAUUCCUAGUGUAGCGGUGAAAUGCGUAGAUAUUAGGAGGAACACCAGUGGCGAAGGCGGCUUGCUGGACGAUAACUGACGCUGAGGCUCGAAAGCGUGGGGAGCAAACAGGAUUAGAUACCCUGGUA
rnacentral:rRNA from 1 species